UACGGGGGGGGCGAGCGUUGUUCGGAAUUACUGGGCGUAAAGGGCUCGUAGGUGGCUUGCUGAGUCAGACGUGAAAUCCCUCGGCUCAACCGGGGAAUUGCGUCUGAAACUGGCGAGCUUGAGUGCAGGAGAGGAACGCGGAAUUCCAGGUGUAGCGGUGAAAUGCGUAGAUAUCUGGAGGAACACCGGUGGCGAAGGCGGCGUUCUGGACUGCAACUGACACUGAGGAACGAAAGCCAGGGUAGCAAACGGG
rnacentral:rRNA from 1 species